CAACUUUGAAGGCGGCGCGUUUUGAAUUCAGGACUCAUGGGACUCCCUUCUCCGGGUAAGUGAUGAUUUACUGACCUUCCUCGGCUACUUUCGAUCUUUUCUUCUUAAGUAUUUCUUACUGACCUGCUUUCUCUUCUUCUCUCUCCUUCUCUCUCUCUCUCUUUUUAAUUAUAGCUCAUCCAUCACUUCGAUCAUUUUUUGGAGGCGGUGCAUGAAGCUCGGUGCAUCUUGAGAGAGGCCAAGGAGAUGGCCAACCAGGCCAAUAGAAGGGUGGACGAUGCUGAGCUAUCCAAAUGAAAGAUCGAGGAGAAGACCAUGUC
rnacentral:lncRNA from 1 species